UUCCAUAAAGUUAUGUUCAUUUUUAUUGAACCAAAUGUAAUUACAUAGAGAAUGAAGCAUUCUAACUUUUCAAAUGGUGGAACUUGUGUUUGAUAGGCAGCAUGUCAUCAUAACCCAACCAGUAAACGCCACUCUGAUUGGCUGAGGCAACAAUCAUUCGGCGCGUACUGCUGAAGCUAGUGGCUGCUCGGCUCUGUUCUGGUUCCUUCAAAUCAAAGCGAUCCAAAAUCAUCGUUUUUUACUCCGUUGAAGUGGUGGGCAGAUCGAGGCUUCGUGAAGCAAUGAAACAGUUGAAGCAAAUGUGCCAUAUUGUGUAGAGGCUUCAAAUCAAUCCGACACCCGUCUCAACGGUGACACCUAGUGGUCACUUGCAGGUGUUGAUCUGAAACAACCUUGACAACGAGCCAUUAAAAAUGUGUUGUUUUUAUUAUUAUUGUAUUUUUCUAAUAUGUGAAGCUUAUAACCUGUAGGCUUCUCACUGUGCAUAAUGUUAUUUUGGUCAUGAAGAAUGAAUAUUAAUAAAAGAAAUCAAGCCA